AUACGUAGGGGGCAAGCGUUAUCCGGAUUUACUGGGUGUAAAGGGCGCGUAGGCGGGGGUGCAAGUCAGAUGUGAAAUCUAUGGGCUUAACUCAUAAACUGCAUUUGAAACUGUAUCUCUUGAGUGCUGGAGAGGUAGACGGAAUUCCUUGUGUAGCGGUGAAAUGCGUAGAUAUAAGGAAGAACACCAGUGGCGAAGGCGGUCUACUGGACAGUAACUGACGCUGAGGCGCGAAAGCGUGGGGAGCAAACAGGAUUAGAUACCCUGGUAGUCCACGCUGUAAACGAUGAAUACUAGGUGUGGGGGGACUGACCCCCUCCGUGCCGCAGUUAACACAAUAAGUAUUCCACCUGGGGAGUACGGCCGCAAGGUUGAAACUCAAAUGAAUUGACGGGG
rnacentral:rRNA from 1 species